UGUUUUUGUUUGGGAAAAAACCCUCCUUUGCCAGGGAAACUGACGGUACCAAACGAAUAAGCACCGGCUAACUCCAUGCCAGCAGCCGCGGUAA
rnacentral:rRNA from 1 species